rnacentral:miRNA from 1 species
UGGGGGAGACAGGCAAA